rnacentral:rRNA from 1 species
UGGCGAACGGGGUGAGUAACACGUGGGCAACCUGCCCAAAANAGGGGGAUAACACUUGGAAACAGGUGCUAAUACCGCAUAACCAUAGUUACCGCAUGGUAACUAUGUAAAAGGUGGCUAUGCUACCGCUUUUGGAUGGGCCCGCGACGCAUUAGCUAGUUGGUGGGGUAAAGGCUUACCAAGGCAAUGAUGCGUAGCCGAACUGAGAGGUUGAUCGGCCACAUUGGGACUGAGACACGGCCCAAACUCCUACGGAAGGCAGCAG